CCUACGGGUGGCAGCAGUGAGGAAUAUUGGUCAAUGGGCGGAAGCCUGAACCAGCCAAGUCGCGUGAGGGACUAAGGCCCUACGGGUCGUAAACCUCUUUUGCCGGGGAUCAGUGCCCAGCUCGCGAGCUGGGAGGGAGCGUACCCGGAGAAAAAGCAUCGGCUAACUCCGUGCCAGCAGCCGCGGUAAUACGGGGGAUGCAAGCGUUAUCCGGAUUUAUUGGGUUUAAAGGGUGCGUAGGCUGUGAGGUAAGUCAGCGGUGAAAUGCCCCCGCUCAACGGGGUGAAGUACCAUUGAUACUGCCUUGCUGGAAUGCGGAUGCCGUGGGAGGAAUGUGUGGUGUAGCGGUGAAAUGCAUAGAUAUCACACAGAACACCGAUUGCGAAGGCAUCUCACGAAUCCGCGAUUGACGCUGAUGCACGAAAGCGUGGGUAUCAAACAGGAUUAGAUACCCCUGUAGUC
rnacentral:rRNA from 1 species